AAGACUGCUCGUCCGUCAUAUGCCACGCAAAAAGCAGGGAAGAGGGAAAUAAUUCCUGUGGAAUCACUACAGUUUUCACCACUUGCUUUCCAUUUAUUUAUGAAUAACAAUUUUAUUUACGUUUUCCAAGUUUCUCCCAGCUGGACUUUGUUCCUUUCAUUUUACGAAAACUGAAGUGGCCUUCUUCAGCACUGCCUGCGUACUUGUUUCUCACUUCUUUGACCUACCUACUGUAUCAGUUGUUUCUGAGGGAGGGCUUUAUCGAUUUGGCUGCGUUCAAACUGCAGACGAAUCUGAUUCAAAUCUGAUUCCUUCUCAUGGCUUAAUUUAAAGACAAAGGUGAAAGAUCCGAUUUCGCUGUAGAUGUGGCUUACCUUGAAUUGGCAGCAAAAUACUGCGUGGCACCCCAUAGACAACAGUACUGUGUUGAAGUCGACUGCACCCCAACCAGAGGAGGCCAUGGUGAUUAUUGCUGUGAUGCUCCUCAUGACUGUGCCUGGGGUCUCUACUGCCUGUGGAGAAGCUGAAUACCUUAUAGGACAGGAGUGCUGCCCCAUGUGUCUCCCUGGUUAUUAUGUUCGGAGACACUGCACAGAGCUCACUAGUACAUCAUGUGUUCCGUGCCCGUCAUCGUUCUACACUGAUGCACCCAAUGGACGUGUGUCAUGUUGGUCCUGCACAGUUUGUGACUCCAGUGCAGGUCUAAGAGUGAAGAGGUCAUGCAGCUCCACCUCAGACACACUGUGUGAGCCUCUGGAAGGACACUACUGCACUGACCCAAUCCAAGAUGGCUGCAGAGGAGCUGUGGAACACACCAAGUGCUCACCAGGACAGUACAUCAAUCAAACAGGUACAUCAUCUUCAGAUACUGUGUGUGGUGACUGUGGCAACAACACAUACUCAAAUGGAUCAUUCAAAUCCUGCAGACCACACACACAGUGUGAGGUGUUGGGACUUUAUCUCAUAAGUGAAGGAUCAACUUCUUAUGACACUGAAUGUGCUGAAAGAGAAAUCACUGUUGUCAUCGUAUUCAGUCUGGUUGCUGUUCUAGUCUUAGCUGCUUUAUGUGGGGUUCUGGUAGGCGUCUCAAUAUUACGAAGGAAACACCUGUCACCAAAUCAAACAGUCAUGCAUCAAUUGAAAUGCUUUCUCAAUCAAGAAUCUGAUCAAAGUGUAACAACAGUGGUACAAGAAUGCGGUAGUAAGAUGGCGUCAGUUACAUGACCAGAAUGGUCCAAUUGAACAUGCCAGUGAUGGAAGCCGACUUUGACUUCUCCACCACCACUCCUCCACCACCAGUUGGUGCCUGUCUCAAGCUGUAAAAGGCUUAAAGUGUUUGUCAUGUUUUAAGUCAUGUUUGUAAUGUAAGGUCUCUAGUAGGAGCUGGUAUUAUAUUCCACCAACGAGGAACAACAGAUGAAAAAGGUUUGGAUUGGCCUGAGCAUACUGGUGGUACCUUCAUUAGCUGAGGAACGCAACGGUGGUAGCGUAUACCUGUAUGAGGGCUUUCAAGUAGGUGGGAGCAGAGCUGGAGAUUACGGCACGCCGCACGCCGCUGCGUUCUGGAUCAUCUGAAGGGGUUUUACAGCGCAGGCUGGGAGACCUGCAGGAGGGCAUUACAGUAGUCAAGUUGAGAGAUGACUGUUGCCUGUACCAGGAGUUGGGUAGCAUCUUGAGUCAAGCACAGUAAGUCCUGAUUUUCCGUAUGUUGUAGAGUGUGAAAUGGCACGACCGUGCUACUGAGGCCACAUUAUCAGAGAAGGUUAGUUGGCUGUCACAAACAACUCCUACAUUUCUUGCAGCCUUGGUAGGUGCAACAGACAAGGAGUCAAUUUUGAUGUUGAUGUCAUGAUGUAUGGUAAGAUAAGAGAUGAACCUUUAAUGUCUCCUGGAGGGGAGACAUUAUAAAACGGUUACUCCAAAGAGAAGCCUUUUGGAUUCACACACUCAGCACAGUUGAGCCCUAUGGUCUAAAUGAAGAACCGUCUGUCUUGUUUUCUCUGAUUAUGUCAUCUUUAAUUUAAUUUAAUUUGAAUUGUUAAUUAAUUUAAUUUAAUUGUUGUAUUUCUAAUUCACACUGACUAAUGAUUGAUGCCCACUUUUCUUUAAAUGAGUGCUGGCACUGGUUAAUUGCUGGUUUUACACACCCCUCAUUACUAACCAAUGUCAUGGAAGAGGAGGGGAGAGAGGUCUUUAUUAACUGUGUAAUGUUGCCAGUAUGGUUUGACUGAGGAAGACGCAGUGCGUCGAAACGUCAGUCGAUUGUGCACCACAAUAAAAUA